rnacentral:misc_RNA from 1 species
AAAAAAGGAGAAGCACAAGGAGAAAAAGCAUAAAAAGGACAAGAAGGAGAAAGAAAAGAGAGAGGGUAAAGAGAAAAGGAAUAAAGAUAGAAGUAAAGAAAAACAUAGAGAAAAGAAAGACCGAAAAGAGAAGCGCAAAGACAAGGACAAGGACAAGGACAGAGAUAAGGAGAAAAACCAGACUUCAGAUGAGAAGAGAGUUGAAGUGCAACCAAGCUUCUAUAAUGGACAAAAGUUUGGUUCAAACAGCCUGCAGAGUAGUGAGAUCAAGGAUUCUUUAUACGUGCAGGAAUUGGCCAGAAGAAUCAAGGAUGAAGAUAGGGCAUCAGGAAGC